AAAGAUGAUGUUUGGAGUUCAGUGGUCAAGAAAACCCCGAUGACUGCACUUCUGUGAAUUUUGAAGUCUUCAUCAGUAUAUCCAUGUAAAAAGGAGAUGACAAAAACCAAAAUAAAAUAAUUAUGGGCUGACAGGACAACUGGAUUAAAAUAAGCAUCAGUUUCAGUAAAAAGGGCUAACUUGAAGACAAAUCUUUUGAAGAUAAAUUUUGACACCAGUUCUUUAGAGGAUCUAAAGUGACCUUGAUGGAGAAUGAAAGAAAUCACAAGAUGGAAUUCCUCGAAUAAAAAUUUAUUGACUUUAAAUAAUUUUGCCUAAUGUUACAUACACACAAUUAAAAAAAAAACACCUCUUUAUGCUGUUAAGAAAGAAAGAAAGAAAGAAAGAAAAGAAAAGAAGAGCCAAUGAGGGCCCAGCCAUUGCGCAAGUCUGGAUUCGUAGGAGAUCACCUUUUAUUCCAAAUCACAUCCUAGUUUUUGUCUUGGUCUGAAUGGAAACAUUAGGGGAAACACAGAGGAAAAUCAGAAAGGAAUCUCCAGCAACUAGUGGGAAUAUUAAUAUUUUAAGAUCCCAUCUCUACCUUUAAUGGACCCAUAAUAACAAUGAAAUAUUUUUAUAAUAAUAGAAUAUUUAUCCAUGAGUUGGGGGAAUAAUCAGACCCUCAAUAUUGUGCUAUGAAAGACUGAGUACAUUACUGCUCUAAAAUCUGAUGAAAUCUACUCUUCCAAGAAAAACCAAAGGCCGUGGCGUGGUACUGAUGGUGGUGUCUCGUCCAUUCUUUCAGACACGUAUUUCACAUAAAUGCACUAAAUAAAACAGGAUCAUGCAUUUAUAAGGCUGGACAGGAAUUUAAGGGGCCACCUUGGGAAAAAGAACUGAACGUGUGCUGAGCAGCUACCAUGAGCUGGGGCUCUUUCACCUGCUCUCUGGGUGAACUCCCAGCCCUCAAGUCUUUGGACUUGGACAAUCUGUAGCUGGAAAGAAACACAACCACAGUCCAACCCAUUCUUCAGUUAUAUUCAAGAGGCCAAGC
rnacentral:lncRNA from 1 species